rnacentral:tRNA from 1 species
GGGGGUAAAGCUCAGUGGCUUAGCAUGCAUGAGGUCCUGGGUUCAAUCCCCAGUACCUCCG